AUUGAACGCUGGCGGCAGGCUUAACACAUGCAAGUCGAGCGGGGAAAGGUAGCUUGCUACCUGACCUAGCGGCGGACGGGUGAGUAAUGCUUAGGAAUCUGCCUAUUAGUGGGGGACAACAUUCCGAAAGGAAUGCUAAUACCGCAUACGCCCUACGGGGAAAGCAGGGGAUCUUCGGACCUUGUGCUAAUAGAUGAGCCUAAGUCAGAUUAGCUAGUUGGUGGGGUAAAGGCCUACCAAGGCGACGAUCUGUAGCGGGUCUGAGAGGAUGAUCCGCCACACUGGGACUGAGACACGGCCCAGACUCCUACGGGAGGCAGCAGUGGGGGAAUAUUGGACAAUGGGCGCAAGCCUGAUCCAGCCAUGCCGCGUGUGUGAAGAAGGCCUUUUGGUUGUAAAGCACUUUAAGCGAGGAGGAGGCUACUUGGAUUAAUACUCUAGGAUAGUGGACGUUACUCGCAGAAUAAGCACCGGCU
rnacentral:rRNA from 1 species